rnacentral:lncRNA from 1 species
UAACACCACGCAUCCAUCAAUCAUUUGGUGACCUAUGUAUGCAAUUUGCCUCUCUCAAAUAAAAUAAAACAACAUAAGAAGCUGGCGAAUGCAAACGCUCCACUGGCAAACCGGCAUGGGUCGUCAAGCCGUUGGGUAGAAGGGCGAGGUGGCGAGGCCGCAGGUUCCCGUCUUCCACGGCACGUCCUUGGCGAGGUAGAUGUAGCCCUGGUCACCCCAGUCGUUGCUCCACGAGUUCUUGGCGAUCCAGUACUUGUUGUCCUCUCCGGGGCCUUCGCAGUAGCCGACGAUGGUGACGGCGUGGUUCACCCUCGACGCAUCGGAGGAGCAAGGGCCGCGGUAGA